GCUGGCGGCGUGCCUAAUACAUGCAAGUCGAACGAACUCUGGUAUUGAUUGGUGCUUGCAUCAUGAUUUACAUUUGAGUGAGUGGCGAACUGGUGAGUAACACGUGGGAAACCUGCCCAGAAGCGGGGGAUAACACCUGGAAACAGAUGCUAAUACCGCAUAACAACUUGGACCGCAUGGUCCGAGUUUGAAAGAUGGCUUCGGCUAUCACUUUUGGAUGGUCCCGCGGCGUAUUAGCUAGAUGGUGGGGUAACGGCUCACCAUGGCAAUGAUACGUAGCCGACCUGAGAGGGUAAUCGGCCACAUUGGGACUGAGACACGGCCCAAACUCCUACGGGAGGCAGCAGUAGGGAAUCUUCCACAAUGGACGAAAGUCUGAUGGAGCAACGCCGCGUGAGUGAAGAAGGGUUUCGGCUCGUAAAACUCUGUUGUUAAAGAAGAACAUAUCUGAGAGUAACUGUUCAGGUAUUGACGGUAUUUAACCAGAAAGCCACGGCUAACUACGUGCCAGCAGCCGCGGUAAUACGUAGGUGGCAAGCGUUGUCCGGAUUUAUUGGGCGUAAAGCGAGCGCAGGCGGUUUUUUAAGUCUGAUGUGAAAGCCUUCGGCUCAACCGAAGAAGUGCAUCGGAAACUGGGAAACUUGAGUGCAGAAGAGGACAGUGGAACUCCAUGUGUAGCGGUGAAAUGCGUAGAUAUAUGGAAGAACACCAGUGGCGAAGGCGGCUGUCUGGUCUGUAACUGACGCUGAGGCUCGAAAGUAUGGGUAGCAAACAGGAUUAGAUACCCUGGUAGUCCAUACCGUAAACGAUGAAUGCUAAGUGUUGGAGGGUUUCCGCCCUUCAGUGCUGCAGCUAACGCAUUAAGCAUUCCGCCUGGGGAGUACGGCCGCAAGGCUGAAACUCAAAGGAAUUGACGGGGGCCCGCACAAGCGGUGGAGCAUGUGGUUUAAUUCGAAGCUACGCGAAGAACCUUACCAGGUCUUGACAUACUAUGCAAAUCUAAGAGAUUAGACGUUCCCUUCGGGGACAUGGAUACAGGUGGUGCAUGGUUGUCGUCAGCUCGUGUCGUGAGAUGUUGGGUUAAGUCCCGCAACGAGCGCAACCCUUAUUAUCAGUUGCCAGCAUUAAGUUGGGCACUCUGGUGAGACUGCCGGUGACAAACCGGAGGAAGGUGGGGAUGACGUCAAAUCAUCAUGCCCCUUAUGACCUGGGCUACACACGUGCUACAAUGGAUGGUACAACGAGUUGCGAACUCGCGAGAGUAAGCUAAUCUCUUAAAGCCAUUCUCAGUUCGGAUUGUAGGCUGCAACUCGCCUACAUGAAGUCGGAAUCGCUAGUAAUCGCGGAUCAGCAUGCCGCGGUGAAUACGUUCCCGGGCCUUGUACACACCGCCCGUCACACCAUGAGAGUUUGUAACACCCAAAGUCGGUGGGGUAACCUUUUAGGAACCAGCCGCCUAAGGUGGGACAGA
rnacentral:rRNA from 2 species